rnacentral:rRNA from 1 species
ACGCUGGCGGCGUGCCUAAUACAUGCAAGUAGGACGCUGAAGAGAGGAGCUUGCUCUUCUUGGAUGAGUUGCGAACGGGUGAGUAACGCGUAGGUAACCUGCCUUGUAGCGGGGGAUAACUAUUGGAAACGAUAGCUAAUACCGCAUAACAAUGGAUGACACAUGUCAUUUAUUUGAAAGGGGCAAUUGCUCCACUACAAGAUGGACCUGCGUUGUAUUAGCUAGUAGGUGAGGUAACGGCUCACCUAGGCGACGAUACAUAGCCGACCUGAGAGGGUGAUCGGCCACACUGGGACUGAGACACGGCCCAGACUCCUACGGGAGGCAGCAGUAGGGAAUCUUCGGCAAUGGGGGCAACCCUGACCGAGCAACGCCGCGUGAGUGAAGAAGGUUUUCGGAUCGUAAAGCUCUGUUGUAAGUCAAGAACGAGUGUGAGAGUGGAAAGUUCACACUGUGACGGUAGCUUACCAGAAAGGGACGGCUAACUACGUGCCAGCAGCCGCGGUAAUACGUAGGUCCCGAGCGUUGUCCGGAUUUAUUGGGCGUAAAGCGAGCGCAGGCGGUUUGAUAAGUCUGAAGUUAAAGGCUGUGGCUCAACCAUAGUUCGCUUUGGAAACUGUCAAACUUGAGUGCAGAAGGGGAGAGUGGAAUUCCAUGUGUAGCGGUGAAAUGCGUAGAUAUAUGGAGGAACACCGGUGGCGAAAGCGGCUCUCUGGUCUGUAACUGACGCUGAGGCUCGAAAGCGUGGGGAGCGAACAGGAUUAGAUACCCUGGUAGUCCACGCCGUAAACGAUGAGUGCUAGGUGUUGGAUCCUUUCCGGGAUUCAGUGCCGCAGCUAACGCAUUAAGCACUCCGCCUGGGGAGUACGACCGCAAGGUUGAAACUCAAAGGAAUUGACGGGGGGCCCGC